GGUGGGCGGUGGGCGGUGCAUGCGCGCGGAGCGCAGCCGGAGACAGGAGACGCCCUUAGCUCAGGCAUGCUUUGUGUAGGGGAGAAAAAUACCCACGAAGGAAGCUUCUCAGAGGGUGACCAGGUGCACAGUUCAGCCAAGAGCAAUGGACAGCUAGUAAGCAGCUGAAGCAGGAAGUAGCUAUGGAUCCACCUCCCCUUCCCAGGCACCAUUUUGGCUACAGCGUGGAGGGUCCUGCUUGCUCUCCUCUGAAGAAUCUUGACAACUCUGUUCUUGGUCCCUUAAGAUUCGGGACAUGCUGCAGAACCUUCCCUACAGCAGACUGUCCUUGCUGUCUGGAGUAGGCUGUGUCCCCAACUCACUUUUCCCAGGGCUGCUCAGAGUCUGCUUUCUCUGAUGAGAGAACUGAAGCCACGUUCUGCACAGUGACGCUAGGCUUUGAGCCCAUGCCCUUCCAUACCAUGCUUUGCUGCUCUGGCUUAGGAUGAUGAAAGUAAUGACUCAGGAUGCCCCUGGGGAUUUGCACCUUGUGCCUGCUUUUCUUGACACCCCGCAAGGCCACACACCCGG
rnacentral:lncRNA from 1 species